CGCGGUAAUUCCAGCUCCAAUAGCGUAUACUAAAGUGUUGCAGUUAAAAAGCUCGUAGUUGGAUUUCUGGCGGGGACGGCUGGUCGGUCUCGAAAGGGGCUGUACUGUUGUUGGUUCCCGUCAUCCUUGGGGAGAGCGGCUCUCACAUUAAGUUGUCGGCGUCGGGAUCCCUAUCUUUUACUGUGAAAAAAUUAGAGUGUUCAAAGCAGGCUUAGGCCCUGAAUACAUUAGCAUGGAAUAAUAAGAUACGACCUUGGUGGUCUAUUUUGUUGGUUUGCACGCCAAGGUAAUGAUUAAUAGGGAUAGUUGGGGGUAUUCGUAUUCAAUUGUCAGAGGUGAAAUUCUUGGAUUUAUGGAAGACGAACUACUGCGAAAGCAUUUACCAAGGAUGUUUUCAUUAAUCAAGAACGAAAGUUAGGGGAUCGAAGAUGAUUAGAUACCAUCGUAGUCUUAACCAUAAACUAUGCCGACUAGGGAUCGGUGGGUGCAUUUUUAGGCCUCAUCGGCACCUUAUGAGAAAUCAAAGUCUUUGGGUUCCGGGGGGAGUAUGGUCGCAAGGCUGAAACUUAAAGAAAUUGACGG
rnacentral:rRNA from 1 species